rfam:Streptomyces ipomoeae 91-03 gcontig_1108499705233, whole genome shotgun sequence.
CCGGGCCAGUGUCCAAGGCCCGUCCCCUCCCCGACGUGCGUCGCUGGUAACGGCGGGGUGCGAAGCUCGGGGAAGAAGCCCAAGAGC